GCCAAUAAUAGCCCUAUGUACCCAUCUAAACAACUAUAUAAACUAACUAAACAAAACAUUUAACACACCCAAGUAUAGGAGAUAGAACAGAUAACACAGGAGCGAUAACACUA
rnacentral:rRNA from 1 species